rnacentral:lncRNA from 1 species
CAUUUUCUCAUUCUCCACCAUGAAAAGUUAAUUUUCUUUCAUUUUCUUUCCUUGUUUUCUUUUCAUUUCCUUUCUCUUCUUGCUUCUUCCUUCUCCCAACUCCUUGUGCACCAAAGUUACAACUUCUAACCCUAAUUUUCAGCACUUCCAAACCCAAGGAGAGAGAAAGAAAAAUCUCUCUUUCUUUCCUUUAUUUUCUAUUUCUACUUUACUUUCAACAACACUUGAAUCUUUGGCUUCAAAUCUUCAUUUUCAAGGUUGAAAGGUAUAUAUUUCCAACUUUUGGAAAUUUUGAAUUUAUGGUUAUAUUUUCAGAUUUAUUUCCUAAUUUCUUCAAAUUAUUUUUCUUGGAAAGAUUAGGUUUUUUGUUGAUCUUCAUGCCCCCAAGCUCAUCCAGGUAACGAAAUUUUAAAUUAGAGUAGUUGGCCAAAUGGGUUUGUGAAUUAGACUAGAAACUUAGGUUAAAUGUUAGGUUAAAGGGUAGAUUGCCUAAUGUAAAUUCAUUAGAAUUAUUAGAUUUAAUUGAUGACUUAAUUGAGGUUGUUAUGCUUUAUUGAUAAAUAUAGGUUUUAAUGGUAUUUCGAGACUACCUAGAUUAGAACCUUGUUGGUGUGUAGUUUUGUCAAGUGAGUGAACUUGCAUUCAAAAUAUUUUGGGAAAUGUAUUGGUAUUUGGACAAAGCGCGUGAAUGAUUUUUAUUUGAUUUUUCCUUAAAGAUUAUACAUGGGACCAAGCCUUUAUUAAAACGUUUUACGUUAUGAGUGUGCAAUAUGAUGAAUCCUUGUGCCUUAUAUGAUGUUGAUAUAAAUAUAUAUGUUGCGUAUUGAUAGUUAAUAUUGUGUGAUAAAUAUAACCGUGCAUGUGCGCGAUGUGGGGGAUACACAUGCCGGUGAUGACGGGGUGCGAAAGUGUGGAUAGUGAUAUUGAAGUGUGCGAGUAGGGAGUGCACACAGUGAUGUUGAUGUGUGCGAGUAGGGAGUGCACAUGAUGAUAUUGCCUUGUGUGUGUAGGGAGUGCACAUUGGCUGAGUGAGGUGGUGGUAUUCGUGUUUAUAUAUGUAUAUAUACAUGUGUAAGUGAAAGUUAUGGAUAUAGUAGGUGGAUGUAAUGUAUGUGAAAUCUUACAUGUUGAAUCUUGAAAUCUCGCUAAUUAUCUUCAAAUUGAAUUGUAUUGCAGCGAGAAACUCUCGGGUUCUUGCCACCCGAAUCUCGCUGCAGCAAGAAUCCACUCUCGCUACAGCGAGAAACCUUCUAUCAUGGUUACUACCUUGCUUGGUUUCUUCCAUAUUUUCAACUUCUUUAACCUCACGGUUGAUCAUGGAUUUGCAACAUUAAGGGAUUAAUUAAUCAAGUUUGAAAUGAGGAGGUUUAAUAAAAAUUAAACUAAAUUGCAUUGUUUUCGAACUGAAGUGCAUCAUGAUUUCUAAACUUUCCUUAACAUUGCUUAUUCCCUUCCUAUGUUCACUCACUGAGUUUAUACUCAUGUUUUUAAACUUCAUGUUUUAGGUUUUUCUGUGUUAAAGGUGUCGGAUCCUAGGAUGAGUUGCUCCUCUCUAUCCAUUGCUCGGUAGGUUUAACAUGACACUAAACGUUAG